GGCUGCUUCAGGCAGCUUAAUUUUGGUGGUAACACCUUUUUUGAUAUUUCUUAGAUGAAUAAAACAGUACACAAGACUUGUGUAAAUAGGGUUCAUUACAAUAGUAAAAGACUAAAAUACUCUGACUCUUUAAACUAAUAACAAAAAUAACUUUAAGUCUAUUAAUCCCUAAAGCCCAUUAACAUCCGCCAACUGCCUUGCUUCCAAUUAGGUUAUGAAAUCCUUGAGUCGGGUACUCAGGUAUCUGGUACUGCGAUCCGCCCUUUCCACCCCUGCAGUUGGUGGUUCGUUAGCCUGCUCCUCCUCAGACGCGUCCUCCGCCUAAUCAGCAACCGCGACCUCCAGUCCGUUCAGAAACCGCCGCGCCUCCUCGCACACGUCCUCCCGGUAAGUAUCUCUAACACGCAAUCGAUCUGGACCAACAUUUCUGGUGAGGUUUCUGUUAACGAGUCUCGGGCCCAUGGAUUAAAUGAACGCACAAGUGGCCAGUUCGGCCACCUUGCUGACCCUAGAUAUAUAAAUGUAUAAUUUCGUUUUUUACUUGCAGGAGCAAGAUGAUCUGAAAAAUUUACAAAGGGUAGACUAAAUACCAAAAGAGAAGUUUUCCUUUACCUCCUUUUACCAGAGGGUCAUAGAUCAAGAGUCGGAAGCGCUGGAUCUGCAGGAGAGGGAGCGGAAGCGGAGAUGAGCUCAAGCCUUCUCUGAUACCAUGAAGAUUUCGUAAGAAUGAGAUGAGAGAGUGCGGAAGCUUUGGUAGAGAACGCGAUCAAUGGUGCCGGAAGCUUAGAUUAGUGAGAUCAAAACGAGAGAUCAGAGUCUAAGGUUUCGUCGAGACGAAAGAGGAAGAUUCGCGCGAGAGAUGAAAAGUAAAAAAAAUGAAAUUACACAUUUAUAUAUCUAGGGUUAGCAAGGUGACCGAACUGGCCACUUGUGCGCCUAUUUAAUCCAUAGGUCUGAAACCCGUUAACACUUUCGAUGACCGUAAGUGCGGCGAACCUCACCAAAAUACUUCCUAUAUUAAUAUAUUAGUUCAUUCUAGAAAUCUAGAUUUGAAUAAAUGUGAAACAAUUGUUUUUGAUGAUCAGUUGUUAAAAAACCUAAAUUGAAAAAAUCACACAAAGGGACUUGGGAUUGAAAAAAAGAAUCUUUCGAAAGAACUUAAGAUUGAGAAAAAAAUCUCCCGAAGGAGCCUGAAAUUAAAAAAAAGAAUUUUUUGAAAAAACCUGAGAUUGAUAAAGAUUUCUUAACUAUAUUCUUUGUUUAAUAUUUCGUUUUACAAACGUCUAUUUAAAAAGAUUGCAUAACAGAAUUUAACCGAUUUACUAAUAACUGACGAACAGACUGCUUCCACCGGGUUUUGGAAACUCUGUCUAGGACGAGGCAUCUGAGUCAAAGUCAAUCUUCAUUUAAAAUAUUUGUUAUAUCACCAUCCCCUACCGAUCGAACCUUGUCCUCAAAGUUCUCAGAUUGAUCGAAUAUACUUAAAAUAGAUUUUUAUUUUCUUUCUCCGAAGCCAAUUUCGAAUUUGUAGUCAUCCCACAAUAGGAUCGUAAUCGGACACCCUAUUCUUUGGAACUGUCAUAGUGUCGUUCUUGAUGACCGUUCUUGAACACUCUCAUUGAAAGCACCAAUAGAACAACUAUUUUUGAUGACCCGUCGUUAAAAAACCUAAAUUGAAAAAAUCCCACGAAGGGGCUUGAGAUUGAAAAAAAGAAUCUAUCGAAAGAGCCUGAGAUUGAGAGAAAAAAUCUCCCGAAGGAGCCUGAGAUUGAGAGAAAAAAUCUCCCGAAGGAGCCUGAGAUUGAGAGGAAGAAUCUCCCGAAAAAGCCUGAGUUUGAGAAAGAUUUCUUAACUACAUUCU
rnacentral:lncRNA from 1 species